rnacentral:rRNA from 1 species
UACCGGCAGCACGAGUGAUGGCCGCUCUUAUUGGGCCUAAAGCGUCCGUAGCUGGCCGCGCAAGUCCAUCGGGAAAUCCGCACGCCUAACGUGCGGGCGUCCGGUGGAAACUGCGUGGCUUGGGACCGGAAGAUCCAGAGGGUACGUCCGGGGUAGGAGUGAAAUCCUGUAAUCCUGGACGGACCACCGGUGGCGAAAGCGCUCUGGAAAGACGGAUCCGACGGUGAGGGACGAAAGCUCGGGUCACGAACCGGAUUAGAUACCCCCGUAGUCC